rnacentral:tRNA from 1 species
GCAUUGGUGGUUCAGUGGUAGAAUGCUCGCCUGCCACGUUUUCGAUUCCCGGCCGAUGCA